GUGGCCGUUUAUCCGUCGGCAGAACUUGGGAACGUUACGGAGGCUCGGCUGCCGGAGAUGCUCGGAAAGAUGCCGCCGAAGGCCGGACGUCGGUAGAACCCCUGGAGGGUCACUCCUGGCGCGAACUUCAACUGAGGGGGUGUUUUAUACCCAACAUCAGUUCUCCUACUUCUGAGUUCGAGUUUCGAAUGAAGUACAGAAAAAUUUCACAGCCGAAGUUGUCCUCUUGAAUCCUGUGCAUGACCGCCCUCAGAUAUUUUGGCAUUUAAUGCGCGCGUGCCGGAGCCUUUUUCCAAUUAGGGCGAUCCGAAGGGUCCUUUCGAAAUUCCCACCGGAGCGUAGUCCCAAGCGCCCCACCAUAAUGGUUCCGCUAGCGGUCAGCCCUACGCUGCGGCGAGUAGGACACGUGGCGGGCACCGAUUGAUCUAGGGAUAUCUCCCACCAUAACUGCGCCAGGCCUCGUCGCCUAUUUAAGCUCCCCUCCUUCCCUUUAGGGGCUUCACUCCGCCUGAGAGUCGAUAUCUUUCUUCUGCCUGAGAGUUUAGUCACUCCCUCGAUGCUCUUUUCGCACCAGUCUUCGCCAUCUCCGCCGACACCCCGCCGCCUUCGGUCUUCCAAGUCCCUCCGAGGGGUUCUCCCGCCGGGGCCGCUGCCUCGGAGGCCAACCUCGAGAGGAUGUCACGGAUCGAAAGGGGUAAGAGGGGGAAAGCAGCGGCCUGCAAAUUCUCCGACUGUCGAACUGCCACUGAGGGUUCUCACCGUCUCAAAGGGGACUCGAGGGAGA
rnacentral:lncRNA from 1 species